GAUGAACGCUGGCGGCGUGCUUAAUACAUGCAAGUCGGGCGAAGCGCUUUAACGGAAUUCUUCGGAAGGAAGAUAAAGUGACUGAGCGGCGGACGGGUGAGUAACGCGUGGGUAACCUGCCUCAUACAGGGGGAUAACAGUUAGAAAUGGCUGCUAAUACCGCAUAAGCGCACAGGACCGCAUGGUCUGGUGUGAAAAACUCCGGUGGUAUGGGAUGGACCCGCGUUGGAUUAGGUAGUUGGUGGGGUAACGGCCUACCAAGCCGACGAUCCAUAGCCGGCCUGAGAGGGUGGACGGCCACAUUGGGACUGAGACACGGCCCAGACUCCUACGGGAGGCAGCAGUAGGGAAUAUUGCACAAUGGGGGAAACCCUGAUGCAGCGACGCCGCGUGAAGGAAGAAGUAUCUCGGUAUGUAAACUUCUAUCAGCAGGGAAGACAAUGACGGUACCUGACUAAGAAGCC
rnacentral:rRNA from 1 species